UUCCCUACGGGAGGCAGCAGUGAGGAAUAUUGGUCAAUGGCCGCAGGGCUGAACCAGCCAAGUCGCGUGAGGGAUGACGGUCCUAUGGAUUGUAAACCUCUUUUGUCAGGGAGCAAAGGGCGCCACGUGUGGCGCUUUGCGAGUACCUGAAGAAAAAGCAUCGGCUAACUCCGUGCCAGCAGCCGCGGUAAUACGGAGGAUGCGAGCGUUGUCCGGAUUUAUUGGGCGUAAAGCGAGUGCAGGCGGUUCCAUAAGUCUGAUGCGAAAGCCUUCGGCUCAACCGGAGUAUUGCAUCAGCA
rnacentral:rRNA from 1 species